CAGUCCCGUUCUCGUGCCAGCGACU
rnacentral:siRNA from 1 species